UCCGUAACAUACACAGAUACAAUUAUAAAGCAGGAAUUCAUUAAUUGAUUAAUAGAGAAUUCACCACUAGUCUUCUUUAUAUUCUCCUCCUCCUCCUUCUUGAACUAAUCUCAUCUCUCUUAAUUCCUUAUGUAGAAACAUAUUUUGGAGAGAAAUUUUCUAUGCAUUUUCUUGACAAAAGUUAGUAAACACGUCAAUUAGUUAUUCCUUUGAAGUCACAUGAAAUGCACUUAAAGAACCAUCCAUUAUUUUCUUUUUAAUGAAGUGUUGAUCAAUAUCUAUAUGUUUGGUCUGAUCAUGAUAAACUGGAUUGUGCACUAUACUAAUGGCAACUUUGUAAUCAUAGAACAAGGAUAAACCCUUUAUUUCUAACAACUUCAAUUCUUCCAUUAACUUCUGUAACCAUAAUAGCUCACAAAUGCCUUGUGCCCUAACUCUAUAUUCUGCUUUUGCACUUGAUCUUGCUAUCACAUUUUACUUUUUGCUCCUCCAAGUAACUAGGUCAUGCCCAACUAAUGUACAAUAACCUAACAAGUAAUAUGAUCUUACCUCUACAUUGUUUGAUAAAUGGGUACGUAUGAUCAGCGUUGCUUUUAUAAUAUCCAAAAGAGAUCAUGGCCUUAUUAAAUCAUUCAAGUCAUAGUCUUGGUGACUGCUUUAGACCACAAUGCCUUCUUUAAUUUACAAAUUUUCCCUUUAGUUUUUUCAUCAUCAAACCCUAGAGGAAUUUACAUAUACACCUCUUCCUCUAAGUCUCCAUGUAAGGAGGCAUUCUUAACAUCAAACUACUGGAAGUCCCGCUCAAGAUUUGUUGCACAAGACAAUAAGAUUCUAAUGUCGUUCAUCUUUACAAUAGAAGAAAAAGUCUCUUGAUAAUAUACUCCUUAUGUCUAAGUGAAGCCUUUGGAUACUAAUUUGGCCUUAUGCCUUUUGAUUGAGUUGUCUACCCUAUGUUUUACUUGUUUUAUUGUGAGCACCCAUUUGCAUCCAAGUUUCUUUCCCAAAGUACAAGUAACAAGAUCUCGUCUCAUUUUUUACCAAAGCUUUCAUCUCCUCAACCAUUGCUACCUUCCAUUUUGAAUCGAGGUAUGCUUCCUUCCAAUCUCGUGUGAAGGAAACAAAGAAUCAUAGGAAACAAAAUUGGAAAUAGGAUGUUUAGUACAAGCCUUGACAUCUGUUCUUACAACAGUGGGUGUAUCAAGGUCAUUAGUAGAGGAAUUAGGGUUAGAAUCAAGCUGUAAUAGUACCAUGCAAUUGUUCUGAUGUUCUUUUUCAUCUGCUGUAGCACUAUUCCUGAUCAGGGAACA
rnacentral:misc_RNA from 1 species